UUAACAUUUUUUGUGUUUUAUGUAUGACUCUGGUGAUCUGAUGAAGCUUAUAGAUGCCUUUUUUAAUAUAAUGUUUUUAAAUUCAUAAAAUAAAACAUACGAGAUUAUAAAGAAAACCAAAUAACUGGGGGAAAAAAAGAUGUAAUUUUUUCCCCAUCCAAGUUCAGCAACCCAUGGUCUUUAUACAAAAUUAAAUAAAGAAUCACUGCCAUAAGGAAAAGGAUCCGUGCCCACGGACUUUCUCUCUUCUUCAUAACCAAGCUGCAGGUUACUGAAAGAACUCUCCUGGGAAAAUCCUACUCACAAACAGCUCUCAAGCACUGCUGCUUCUUUGUUUCUAGUGUCCCUGUUCAGGCACCAUUUGUUAUGGGCACCAUCUGCUAGUGACUGCUGAGGAUCUAAUUCUGAUGAGCAGAAUAGAUCCCUUCGUGUGAAAGGAUGAUAACAAUACAAGGAAACUGAGAGACGGUUGCAUUCUCUCACCUCUCUCCUCUUCCCUCUGCCUCUAGUUUAUUUCAUUCCCAAUUCACAAGCAGCAUCUGAGUCAUUAAAGGCAGAUUUGCAAUUC